CCAGACUCCUACGGGAGGCAGCAGUGAGGAAUAUUGGUCAAUGGGCGCGAGCCUGAACCAGCCAAGUAGCGUGAAGGAUGACUGCCCUACGGGUUGUAAACUUCUUUUAUAAAGGAAUAAAGUGAGGCACGUGUGCCUUUUUGUAUGUACUUUAUGAAUAAGGAUCGGCUAACUCCGUGCCAGCAGCCGCGGUAAUACGGAGGAUGCGAGCGUUAUCCGGAUUUAUUGGGUUUAAAGGGUGCGUAGGCGGAGUGUCAAGUCAGCGGUAAAAUUUCGGGGCUCAACCCCGUCGUGCCGUUGAAACUGACGCCCUUGAGUGAGUGAGAAGUAAGCGGAAUGCGUGGUGUAGCGGUGAAAUGCAUAGAUAUCACGCAGAACGCCGAUUGCGAAGGCAGCGUACCGGCGCUCAACUGACGCUGAGGCACGAAAGUGCGGGUAUCGAACAGGAUUAGAUACCCUCGUAUAA
rnacentral:rRNA from 1 species